AGUACAGUAAUGUGUCUGUCUUUUUCUUUUCAUCUUCGAGUGCACGUAGUGUGUGCUGCAGUCUGUCAGUGAGGAUCUCAAGCUCUUGAGUCAGUUUAUAUUCCUCUCUGAACUGCUCUCCCAAAAGAACCAGAUCACGGGUAGCAUCAUGCAAUGGAAUAUCACUCAGAUAUAACCCUCUUCUGGUUAAAUCAUCCAAGUUCAUAACACUUGGUGAACAAAGAAAGAGAAUGUUGUCUGCUUCAGGCAAGUAGAUCAUUUGCCCUUUCAGGCGUAAGCAACUGAUUUCUGUGCCAGUCAACUCAUCUUCACACUCCAGCUUCUCUACAUCCAACAGCCCCUC
rnacentral:lncRNA from 1 species